AUACCUUUCUCGGCCUUUUGGCUAAGAUCAAGUGUAGUAUCUGUUCUUAUCAGUUUAAUAUCUGAUACGUGGGCCAUCGGCCCACAUGAUAUUAAAUUAAUUUUUUAAGGGGGAAGGCCCGCCGGGUAGCUUGCUACCUGGGCCUUCGAGUGUCGCCCAUGCGUUGCACUACUGCUUGGGCCUGGCGCACCCCUC
rnacentral:snRNA from 1 species